rnacentral:rRNA from 1 species
UACGGAGGGUGCAAGCGUUAUCCGGAUUCACUGGAUUUAAAGGGUGCGUAGGUGGGCAGGUAAGUCAGUGGUGAAAUCUCCGAGCUUAACUCGGAAACUGCCGUUGAUACUAUUUGUCUUGAAUAUUGUGGAGGUAAGCGGAAUAUGUCAUGUAGCGGUGAAAUGCUUAGAUAUGACAUAGAACACCAAUUGCGAAGGCAGCUUACUACACAACGAUUGACGCUGAGGCACGAAAGCGUGGGGAUCAAACAGG